AUGUUUAUUCACACACAGGAAGUUAAACUCAGACAUGGGCAUUCAAUAAUGGCACAUUCAAAAUUCGAAAAUAGAAAAUCAAGUAACAAUGCAAAUUUUCUAAAAAGGGCCAGAAUACAUACAUAUUGCAACUCAACUGUUAAUUAUCCUAUCAAUGCAAACUCAAGCCAGGAACGGAUGCAGGCCAAAACAGCUCAGCAAAUAAUUAAUAGAACUUCCUCCAAUUUCCUAACUAACUAA